UUUUGGUCCAAAAUGGCUCUUUCAACAUUUUGGGUUGCCGACCCCUGACUUAGGGCAUUCAAUUAAUCACACAAAAUAAAAACGUUAAUUUUCGGUUUGCUCUAAAAGACAAUUUGCCUCUCAGCCACGCAGGCUUCAUCAGUUCAUUCUCAUAGCCUUACUGUACAUUGGUCAGAUGUGACUACAUUCCAGGUUUUAUCAAAUAUUUUUACAAAAAUAAUUCCAAUACAACGCACACCUGUCGUUCAUAUCUUUUUUAGCUCAUAUUCCACCCUGAAAGUGUAACCAGCCAAGAGGAAUGAGUCAAUGCAUCGUACAGAGCAAUUGAGGAGCAUGUCUUGUCAAUGCAAUGCAUGCCACACAAUGUGCUGAGAGAGAUUGAUGUUAUUGUCAUCCACCUGCUUCAAAGCUGUAAAAAAAAAAAAAAACAGGCAGAUGCUGAUGCAAACAGAGGAACCUAGCUAGUCAAGCUCACAAACAAAAGAGUGAGAACCUCAUAGCUCCUCCUUGCACAUCUGUUUUGGAGGAAUAUCUCAGCAUUCUGUUGUGAUGCACACUGGGCUUAAAUGAAUCUGAAUCUUGUGUCGGGGAAGGGGAAAGAAGCUGGCGGAUCCUCAUGCAGAGAACCCACAGGAGUUCCGAGAGAACCCACAGGAGUUCCGAGAGAACCAUCACGCCCUUCUUGAUAAGAGCUCUCUCCGGCAGGCUCUCUCUCGUUCUCCAGCCAGCUCCCUCUCAUGGUCUCCGACGCUGCUGAUAAAGGGAACAGGUGAUUAGAUAACUUGUUCCAGCUGAGAUAUCUACCCACCUGUCUGCUGCUUCAUGGCCGGCCACUGCACACACCCCGCCCGCAGGGAACGCAUGGACCACGCCCCUCUCCACAAAUAAUUUUUAAAUGUGGAGAGGCGGAACAGGGCAGUCUGACAGAGAGGCCCAAGAUGGCGGCGAGGAGGCGGGGACGGCGAGCAAGCGGCGAGGCGGGGCCACAAUCAAGAUCAGGUGUAUAGAUCGCGCAACCGGGGCCAAUCAUGCAAUCCUCUUGCACUGUUUAAAAGGGCGACAACCGUGAACGUCGGGGAGAGAGGCGUAGAGACUGGAAGGACCCAAAGUGAAGCUGACGCGGAGCGAGAGAGGAAGAGAGCUCGAGGCAGACGAGUGAGCAGAGAAAAGGUGCUGAAAAGCGACCUGGACUGAGGUUUUAUUUUUUUUAAAAUAAACAAAGUCAACCCUGCUCAAAGAUGUGCCUAUUUGGUGGUCCAUGGAACCCGCAAGACGGCACAAGUCGU